rnacentral:lncRNA from 1 species
UUCUCUUCACUUUCUACAUCUGUGUUGCAGAACCAGGAAGGAUCCAUGACAAAGAAGUAGUUGGCACAAAUGAAUCUUCUGAAAGAACAGUCUGCUAAGACGCUGAGGCUGAAUUGUCCUCUGGGAAAAGAAAGCAAAAAUCCAACUGGCCUGCAUUACUGAGGAGACCUUGAAAGAUUGAUGUAAGAUAGCCCCCGAUGGAAGAAAACGGGCAGGGUCCAUGGGGGUGGCCUGCAGGAUCACUGUGGACCUGCUGGGGGUGUGACAAAGGACAAUGUGAGAAGGAGGAGAUAGUGACAAUAAACUUUGGUUAUGCCAAAUUUUCUGAAGAGCCAGCACUUCUUACUGUGAAAAACUGAUCUGGAGUGAAGUGAUGAAUUAUCCCAUCCAAAAUUACCAAUUCUUUUCAAGAACUCCUUUCACUUUUAUUCAAUCCCCUAAUAAAAGCAGGCUUGUUGUCCUCAUUAAGCCCAACGUAUUGGCAUCUGAAGUGUAUUGAUGUACUCGCAUGUGAUUUCCCUAAUUACACUGGAACUUGCAAUGCCCAAGAACUCUGCUGAUGAAAAUAAUCCUUCUGUAAUAUUUCCUUUUUGACUGGGCACCUCUGGGCAUUAAAAACACACUUUCAGUGAAAACUAGGAAGGGCUUUCUUAGUUCUUAUCACAUUAAUCUUGUCAUCUAAACUUUUCUGCUGGAAAGCUAGCUUCUUCUAUAAAUCCAUUUCUCAAAUUAUUUUGGAAGUAACCUAAGAUACUACAUCAAUG